UCAGGUUUGGAUUCCCCAAUUUCAUUGCCAGAUGUCUUGAAAUUAGACCCGUUUGAUUUCUCUCCAAGUCCAGAACAUCCACCUAAGCCUCCGUCUACAGCUGCCACUGUACAGUUGGCUUCACCAAAUGUAUGAUUUGAUAUUGUUAGUGCCAAAUUCACCGCAUGAAACAGUUAUAUCGCCCUCUGUUAACAGAAAAGUUUGUAGAUAUCAUUAUGGGAUAUCGAUCGAUAGGAGCGUGGAGGACAAAUUUUUUCAACCUUUGUAACAGUUUUGUAUCACCUUUUUGACACUUUUGACAAGCUUAUUCUCGACUUAUGGAUAUUUUGUGUGUUUUGGAGCUAUUGGAGGAUAACAGGAGCUUCACAUAAACUGUAAGAACACAGUAGGCAAGGCAUUAUUGAAGGAAAUAGAACUGAUCCGAGGGCCUUGAAUUGAA